AAGGUUGGUACAAAAGUAAUUGUGGUUUUGGCCAUUGCUUUUAAUGGCAAUAAAUGCAGUUACUUUUGUAUCAAUCUU
rnacentral:pre_miRNA from 1 species